CCUACGGGAGGCAGCAGUAGGGAAUCUUCCACAAUGGGCGAAAGCCUGAUGGAGCAACGCCGCGUGGGUGAAGAAGGUCUUCGGAUCGUAAAACCCUGUUGUUAGAGAAGAAAGUGCGUGAGAGUAACUGUUCACGUUUCGACGGUAUCUAACCAGAAAGCCACGGCUAACUACGUGCCAGCAGCCGCGGUAAUACGUAGGUGGCAAGCGUUAUCCGGAUUUAUUGGGCGUAAAGGGAACGCAGGCGGUCUUUUAAGGCGGAUGGGAAAGCCUUCGGCUUAACCGGUGUAGUGCAUGGGAGACUGGGAGACUUUAGUGCAGAAGAGGGGAGGCGAACUCCAUGGGUAAGGGUGGAAAGCAU
rnacentral:rRNA from 1 species